rnacentral:rRNA from 1 species
CAAUGGAGAGUUUGAUCCUGGCUCAGGAUGAACGCUGGCGGCGUGCCUAAUACAUGCAAGUCGAACGCGGGCACUUGUGCCCGAGUGGCGAACGGGUGAGUAAUACAUAAGUAACCUGGCCUUUACAGGGGGAUAACUGCUGGAAACGGUAGCUAAGACCGCAUAGGUAGGGACACUG